CCUACGGGUGGCUGCAGUGGGGAAUUUUGGACAAUGGGGGCAACCCUGAUCCAGCCAUGCCGCGUGCGGGAAGAAGGCCUUCGGGUUGUAAACCGCUUUUGUCGGGGAAGAAAUCAUCUGGGCUAAUACCUCGGGGGCCUGACGGUACCCGGAGAAUAAGCACCGGCUAACUACGUGCCAGCAGCCGCGGUAAUACGUAGGGUGCAAGCGGUAAUCGGAGUUACUGGGCGUAAAGCUGGAGCAGAGAUGGGAAAUCCCCGGGCUCAACCUUGGAACUGCAUUUGUUACUGCAAGGCUGGAGUGCGGCAGAGGGGGAUGGAAUUCCGCGUGUAGCAGUGAAAUGCGUAGAUAUGCGGAGGAACACCGAUGGCGAAGGCAAUCCCCUGGGCCUGCACUGACGCUCAUGCACGAAAGCGUGGGGAGCAAACAGGAUUAGAUACCCGAGUAGUC
rnacentral:rRNA from 1 species